rnacentral:ncRNA from 1 species
ACUUCUUUGCCGCCGGGUAAAGAAGUUAAGCGUCAGGCUUCCUAUCGUUAGGCCAUUGAAGAUAGGAAGUUCUGGCGCUUUAUUUUU